UCAUCCUUCAUUUCGGAGGGACCAAGAGAGAGAUAGAGAGAGCGAAAGAGAAAGAAGGGAAAUAGGAAGGAAAGAGCGAGGAACAGGGAGUGAGGGAGGGAGCAAGAGAGUGAUAGAGGGAGCACGAGAAAGGAGGAAGUGGAAAACGCAAGAUGAGAAGAGAGAGAGAGAGCGGUGACGAUGUCUACAGCUGAAGUAGUGAAGGAAAUAAAACUAUCUUCGGGAUAUAGGGGGAUGCAUAUUACUAGAGGACGCCUUACAUCUCUGACGAAGAAACUAAUGAUAGCCAAACGGGGUUGAUCAUUGUGAACAUCCAUUUCGAUCUGGUGUGUUGCAUAUAAAGGGUGGGGGGGGAGAGAGAGAGAGAUGUUCUCCUUUUGGUGCCUCCAAUCUCAUGCUAAUGUGUGCAAAGGUGCCUUCUUUCCCAGUCGUUUUUUAUACUGCCUACCUCUUCUUGACCUCCUGCUCUUCCUGCCUCUUCCUCGACGCAAAUGUUCCUAAUAUGGUGAUGAUGACUCCAAUGGUCAUGAUGGCAAGAUGGAAAAACUUGAUGCCUCAUUCACAACUAGCAACCUUGCUCGACUACUGUAAAGAUUAUGCUAGGAUAUGAAGAACAUAAUAUAUAGUUCUACUUGGGGGAGAAAGAAUCAUGAGGUGAUUUCUCUCUGGUUGAUGCUAGGGAUAAGGCCAGAUUUGUAGUCUUCUUUGGACAAUUAUGUGUUUUAGCAUCACCUCUGUAAAUGUGAUUGCAGGAGCAACUCAGAGAUUAUCAAUGGUGAUUCGGAAUGCUGAUGCUAUUUGUAUGUAAGUGGGUGCUAAUUGGUUUGAUGCAAGCAAUAGGAUAGAUGCUUUUGAUUUUAUUGCUUGGCUCAGUGGCUGUUUUAGCAGUUCUACGGAGAAAAUUGGCAUUAUCGCAGGUCCCUCUAGUUGGAGAGAAAGUUAUAGAAGAUAAUCAGACGUGGUUUGGGAUCUGAUGCAACUUCACAUUUUUCCCUUCAGCUUUCAUGGCAUUUUUAUAGUUUGGGAAGCAAUCCUGAUGUAGAUGCAAUUAAAAUUUUACAAUCACUUGUUCCUUAUAUGGUGAGAGUGAGAGAGGUUUCAUGCUUUAUUGGCACAACCCUUUCAAAACACAAGCAAAAAGAAAAGUGUUGAGCAGUACAUGCGUAUGUUUAGAGAAACUACAGAUGAUAGUGUCUUGAAAAAUUUAAUCAUACUCUUUCAAUUGUA